rnacentral:rRNA from 1 species
GAUUUCUGUGUUUUGACCGCCUGUCCCGCCCGGGUUUCCGUGGUGUGUGCUGGGUGUGUCGGCACAUCCUUCUAGAAAACGUAUCUGCCCUUCACUGGGUUGGGUACGCGAUCUAGAUCUUUUACUUUGAAAAAAUUAGAGUGUUUAAGGCAGGCUUAUGCUGUGAAUACAUUAGCAUGGAAUAAUAAUCUAGGACUUCGGUUCUAUUUUGUUGGUUUCUAUAACUGAAGUAAUGAUUGAUAGGGAUAGUUGGGGGUGCUAGUAUUGGCCGGCCAGAGGUGAAAUUCUUGGAUUCGGUCAAGACUAACUUAUGCGAAAGCAUU